GGGAAAAUAGCAUAUAUGCAGUUAACUUGAAAUUAAUUGAUGGCAGCUUUAAGUCUGUCUUUUCUCG
rnacentral:tRNA from 1 species